rnacentral:lncRNA from 1 species
GGGACUACAGGCGCCCACCACCACCCCGGCUAAUUUUUUGUAUUUUUAGUAGAUAUGGGGUUUCACCGUGUUAGCCAGGAUGGUCUCAAUCUCCUGACCUCCUGAUCCUCCUACCUCAGCCUGCCAGAGUGGUGGGAUUACAGGUGUGAGCCACUAUGCAGGGCACUAUUCUGUUUUUCUUUGUGGUUACUAUCACCAGUGAGUUUUGUGCCUUCAGAUGAUUUCUUCUUGCUCAUUAACAUCCAUUUCUUUCAGAUUGAAGAACUGCCUUUAGUAUUUCUUGUAGAACAGGUUGGGUCUUGAUGAAAUCCCUCAGCUUUUGUUUGUCUAGGUAGGUCUUUAUUUCUCCUUCAUGCUUGAAGGACAUUUUCAUUGGAUAUAUUAUUCUAGAAUAAAAGAUUUUUUUCCUUCAGCACUUUACA